rnacentral:lncRNA from 1 species
AUGGGUCAGAACAUCCCAGAAAUUUGGGAUUCCAGGAGAUUCCCAAGGGCUCGGAGUGGUCCUGAAAUUUGGGAUCCUUGGAUACCCAGUCCAGGGGUUGGGGGUUCCUGGGUGUCCUGGAAAUUCGGGAUUUUGGGACUUCCCAAAGCCCAGAGAAUCCCAGAAAUUUGGGAUUCCCUGGGGAUUCCCAAGGGCUCGGGGUGUCCCAGAAAUUUGGGAUCCUUGGAUACCCCAAAAGGUCCAGAGAAUUCCAGGGGUUGGGGGUUCCUGGGUGUCCCAGAAAUUUGGGAUUUUGGGACUUCCCAAAGCUCAGAAAAUUCCAGAAAUUUGGGAUUGCUGGGGGUCCUCAAAGGCUCGGAAAAUUCCGGGAAUUUGGGAUCCUUGGACACCCCAAAAAUUCCAGGAAUUCCUAGGAAUUGGGGGUUUCUGAGUGUCCCAGAAAUUUGGGAUUCCUGGAAAUUCCCAAGGUCUCAGAGUGUCCCAGAAAUUUGGGAUUUUGGGACUUCCCAAAGCUCAGAAAAUUCCAGGAAUUUGGGAUCCUUGGAUACCCCAAGAGGUCCAGGGAAUUCCAGAGGUUGGGGGUUCCUGGGUGUCCCAGAAAUUUGGGAUUUUGGGACUUCCCAAAGCUCAGAGAAUUCCAGGAAUUCGGGGUCCUUGGGCGCCCCAAAAAUUCCGGGAAUUCCAAAGAAUUGGGGCUUCCUGAGUGUCCCAGAAAUUUGGGGAUCUUUGGGGUUCUCCAAUGGGUCGGAACAUCCCAGAAAUUUGGGAUUCCAGGAGGUCCCCAAAAGCUCAGAAAAUUCCAGGAAUUUGGGAUCCUUGGGCACCCCAAAAAUUCCGGGAAUUCCAAGGAAUUGGGGGUUCCUGAGUGUCCCAGAAAUUUGGGAUUUUGGGGUUCUCCAAUGGGUCGGAACAUCCCAGAAAUUUGGGAUUGCUGGGGGUCCUCAAAGGCUCGGAAAAUUCCGGGAAUUUGGGAUCCUUGGACACCCCAAAAUUCCGGGAAUUCCAAGGAAUUGGGGGUUCCUGAGUGUCCCAGAAAUUUGGGAUUUUGAGGAUUUCCCAAAGACUCAGAAAAUCCCCAAAAUUUUGGGAUCUCCGGGUUCUCCCGAGCCCUCCGAAAACCCCCCCAAAAAAUCCAAGAUUUUCCCAAACCCUCUGGAAAAAAAAAAUUUAAAAAAAUCCAAGAAACGAAAAAAUCCCAAAAUUCCGGGCUUUGGGAAUGGGGGGGAGGGCUCCAAAAUUCGGGAAUUUCCCUUUGGAAUGUGCUGA